AUUGGAGGGCAAGUCUGGUGCCAGCAGCCGCGGUAAUUCCAGCUCCAAUAGCGUAUAUUAAAGUUGUUGCGGUUAAAAAGCUCGUAGUUCGAGUUCAGUUGCGGACUGGGGUGGGAGGUCACCGCCCGGUGCUUCCCCGUCAGGCUCCGAACAGCUUCCGUGAGUGGAAGCCAAGCCGGUUCUGCCGGGGUGCUCUUUACCGAGUGUCCCGCGCGGCCGGCCAGUUCACCUUGAAUAAAUGAGAGUGCUCAAAGCAGGCUACUCUGGAAUACAAUGCCCGAAUGUUAACUGCAUGGAAUGAUGGAAGAUGAUCUCGGUUCCAUUUUGUUGGUGGUGGGAGCCAGAGGUAAUGAUAAAGAGGGACUGUCGGGGGCAUCCGUACUACGACGCGAGAGGUGAAAUUCAGUGACCGUCGUAGGACGAACAACAGCGAAAGCAUUUGCCAAGAAUGUCUUCGUUGAUCAAGAACGAAAGUUAGAGGAUCGAAGGCGAUCAGAUACCGCCCUAGUUCUAACCCUAAACGAUGCUGACUAGCAAUUCGCCGUCGUUAUUCCCAUGACGUGGCGAGACGCCCCCGGGAAACCUCAAGUCUUUGAGUUCCGGGGGUAGUAUGGUUGCAAAACUGAAACUUAAAGGAAUUGACGGAAGGGCACCACCAGGAGUGGAGCCUGCGGCUUAAUUUGACUCAACACGGGGAAGCUCACCAGGCCCGGACACCAGAAGGAUUGACAGAUUAAGAGCUCUUU
rnacentral:rRNA from 1 species